ensembl:scaRNA small Cajal body-specific RNA 6
GGUCAGUGAUGUGAUGUAAAAGGUCUGAAUCUCAGCUCCUCCCUCAGCUGCCAUUUUACCUCCCAGCAGCCCCCUGCUUUUUGCUGCUAUCAUGCUAUAGUGGUGCAGUGGUGGUCACAGGAGCUGCUGCCAGACAGGAAGUUACAUCAAAACGAGUCUGUACAGAGAUCCUAUAGGCUCAGUGUGAUGACUGACAUCCGACAGAACCAAUAGAUAGAAGUAUAAGGCAGAGGGGGAGUGAUCUGAGAGAUGAUCUCACUCUGCUGCUGAGACC